rnacentral:rRNA from 1 species
GAGGAAAAGAAACUAACAAGGAUUCCCCUAGUAACUGCGAGUGAAGCGGGAAAAGCUCAAAUUUGUAAUCUGGCGGUCUUGGGCCGUCCGAAUUGUAAACUAGAGAAGUGUUAUCCGCGCUGGACCGUGUACAAGUCCCCUGGAAUGGGGCGUCAUAGAGGGUGAGAAUCCCGUCUUUGACACGGACUACCAGGGCUUUGUGAUGCGCUCUCAAAGAGUCGAGUUGUUUGGGAAUGCAGCUCAAAAUGGGUGGUAAAUUCCAUCUAAAGCUAAAUAUUGGCGAGAGACCGAUAGCGAACAAGUACCGUGAGGGAAAGAUGAAAAGAACUUUGGAAAGAGAGUUAAACAGUACGUGAAAUUGCUGAAAGGGAAACGCUUGAAGUCAGUCGCGUUGGCUAGGGAUCAGCCUUACUUUUGUGGGGUGUACUUCCUUGUCGACGGGUCAGCAUCAGUUUUGGUUGCUGGAUAAAGGCUGGGGGAAUGUGGCAUCUUCGGAUGUGUUAUAGCCCCUGGUUGGAUACAGUGGCUGGGACUGAGGAACUCAGCACGCGCAAGCUGUGCUUAGGAUGCUGGCAAAAUGGCUUUAAUCGACCCGUCUU